CGGGGUGAGUAACGCGUGGGUAACCUGCCUUAUACAGGGGGAUAACAGUCAGAAAUGGCUGCUAAUACCGCAUAAGCGCACAGAGCUGCAUGGCUCAGUGUGAAAAACUCCGGUGGUAUAAGAUGGACCCGCGUUGGAUUAGCUUGUUGGCAGGGUAACGGGCCUACCAAGGCGACGAUCCAUAGCCGGCCUGAGAGGGUGAACGGCCACAUUGGGACUGAGACACGGCCCAGACUCCUACGGGAGGCAGCAUG
rnacentral:rRNA from 1 species